CGGCGGAGUGGCACCGGCAGAGCUUGCGCAGCGAGGUUAUGGGCGAGGCGGCACCGCCGCCGCUCGCCGCGGGCGAGGGACCGCUGCCCGCCUUCGCGCCGGCUGCGG
rnacentral:snRNA from 1 species